UCUCAUAUUGUUUCUUAAUUCCACGAAAACCACGUUCAAUAGUUUCUUUGGCUCUAUCCAUUGCUUCAUAAAUAUAGCCCAUUGGUGGUUUUUUCUCCCCAUCCACCAAACGAAGCACUUUUGUCAAAGGGCCACAAACUGUAAGUGCUCGAACAACAUCAUCCCAAAAGUGGGCAGAAAUAAUAAGAUUGGCAACAUCUUUACCGAAAGUUUCCUUUGCAAAUUUACUUGAAGUCCAUUCGGUUGAGAGGACUAAAGUUCUCAAGUUUUUUCUUUGUAUGUACAUAGCUCUCAAAGUUAAGAACGCCGUUGCAAAUCUUGUCUUGGCCAGUUUCACCAAAUUUCUUUCCUUGGUGAAUUUUCUCAUCAAGUUUAACAACAAUGGCCUUUGACUAAUGUAAGAAUGGAUUCUGAUGGCUUUCUUAAAAACUGUUAAGGUAAGAUUAUAGUAAUUAGUAGCUAAUAAGUAUUAAAUAUUGACUAUAAAGAAAGUUAGAGGAUAUGAGAGUGAUAUUACCGGAAGCAUAUGGCUUAACCUUGAAUAUGUCACCAAACAUCAAGUUGAUGCAAUGAGCGGCACAUGGAGUCCAAUAAAUGUGUGGGUAUGCACCCAUCAUCAUGCUUCCCGCUUUAACAUUCUCACUAGCAUUAUCAGUGACAAUUUGUACACCAUUUUCCGGUCCAAUUCUUUCAAUAGCAGUGUUUUGGACGGCGAGAGGCGACAAAAGGCGACAAGGGCCUGCCUCGCCACGCGGCGAGGCGAGCGGCGAGGAGAUCGCCUUUUUGAAUCAAGGCGCCAAUUCAUACCAAAAUUAAAAAUAUUUAAUUGCAUAUAUAAAUAUCCAAAAUCUCAAUAGCAAUAACAUAUAUUAGCAAAUAUUUCAAUUCAAAAACAAAAAGUAGAUACUAAAUGUUUAGAACUUUAAAGACCCAAUAAUUCAAAAGAUAAUACUAGAACUCUAAAAGUCUAUUAUUCUUCAAAACUAUCCAACUCUUGAAGAUCAACAUCCUCUACAUCAUUAUAUUGCUCCUCAUCUUCUUCCUCCUCGUAGUCUUCAUCAAUUAGUGUCCGAGUCCUACUUGAAGUUGAACUUGUAGAUGAAGUUUCUACUCCUUUGCCCUUGUCAAGUGCUCUUGAUCUUGAAGAAAGUCCCCUAAGAUGAUAGAUACUCUCAUCAGCUCCAAUUGCCGUAGCAACACUACCCCAAGUAAGAUCAGCAUCCUCAUAUACUAGUUCAUCUUUUUUUAUAUUCGGGGCAUCCAACUAACCAUUCAUUUGAAUCAUCAAUGUUAUCCAAGCGAAUUGGAUCAAUGAGAUCACGAGCAUCAUAACGACGUUUCAAUGUUCUAUUGUACUUAAUGUACACUAGAUCAUUGAGACGCGAUAGUGCAAGCCUAUUCCUCUUUUUGGAAUGAAUAUACACAUACGUUACAGAUAUUAACUAAUAGAUAUUGAUAAUAAUAUAAUAUGGAAAUUAGGAUAAAAUUUUUUUACUUACGUGUUCACACACACUCUAAUUUUGUUCACAUCCGGAUGAGCUACAAGUUAGGCUUAAUACUUUAAUGACAAACUUUUGCAAGUUUGGUGUUUCACUAUCAAAUAGUGACCACCAUUCCACUAUAAUAAAAUAAAUUUAGAGGCUAAUGAGUGUAAAUAAGUCGAAUAAUUUAAGUAAGAGCUAAAUUAACUCACUUACCCGGUGACCUUGUGACUCUAGCUCUUUUAGCCGGACCACAACCAAAUAGUCCAUUCGCCAUUUUGUACCUAGGAAGCUCAACGACUAGUAAAUCUUGUAUUGUUGUAUCGGAGAUCAGUUACUCAACACAUGCAUAAUACUCGGUCCAUAGACUCUGUAGUAAAGUUCCCUCUUCUUGAGCUUUAUAAUACAAUAAUGGGUUCAAAACACGGCCUGCAGCAUGCAAAGGCCGAUGGAAUUGGUCUAACCACCUUGCAUCUAUAAUUUCAAACACUUUCUCAUAUUGCUUCUUAAUUCCACAAAAACCCCGUUCAAUAGUUUCUUUGGCUCUAUCCAUUGCUUCAUAAAUAUUGCCCAUUUGUGGGUUUUUUUACCCAUCCACCAAACGAAGUACUUUUGUCAAAGGGCCACAAAAUGUAAGUGCUCGAACAACAUCAUCCCAAAAGUGGGCAAAAAUAUUAAGAUUGGCAACAUCUUUCCCGAUAGUUUCCUUUGCAAAUUUACUUGAAGUCCAUUCGGUUGAGAGGACUAAAGUUCUCAAGUUUUUUC
rnacentral:lncRNA from 1 species